rnacentral:rRNA from 1 species
GGUUAAGCGACUAAGCGUACACGGUGGAUGCCCUGGCAGUCAGAGGCGAUGAAGGACGUGCUAAUCUGCGAUAAGCGUCGGUAAGGUGAUAUGAACCGUUAUAACCGGCGAUUUCCGAAUGGGGAAACCCAGUGUGUUUCGACACACUAUCAUUAACUGAAUCCAUAGGUUAAUGAGGCGAACCGGGGAACUGAAACAUCUAAGUACCCCGAGGAAAAGAAAUCAACCGAGAUUCCCCAGUAGCGGCGAGCGAACGGGGAGGAGCCCAGAGCCUGAAUCAGUGUGUGUGUUAGUGGAAGCGUCUGGAAAGGCGCGCGAUACAGGGUGACAGCCCCGUACACAAAAAUGCACAUACUGUGAGCUCGAUGAGUAGGGCGGGACACGUGGUAUCCUGUCUGAAUAUGGGGACCAUCCUCCAAGGCUAAAUACUCCUGACUGACCGAUAGUGAACCAGUACCGUGAGGGAAAGGCGAAAAGAACCCCGGCGAGGGGAGUGAAAAAGAACCUGAAACCGUGUACGUACAAGCAGUGGGAGCCUCUUUAUGGGGUGACUGCGUACCUUUGUAUAAUGGGUCAGCGACUUAUAUUCUGUAGCAAGGUUAACCGAAUAGGGAGCCGAAGGGAAACCGAGUCUUAACUGGGCGUUAAGUUGCAGGGUAUAGACCCGAAACCCGGUGAUCUAGCCAUGGGCAGGUUGAAGGUUGGGUAACACUAACUGGAGGACCGAACCGACUAAUGUUGAAAAAUUAGCGGAUGACUUGUGGCUGGGGUGAAAGGCCAAUCAAACCGGGAGAUAGCUGGUUCUCCCCGAAAGCUAUUUAGGUAGCGCCUCGUGAAUUCAUCUCCGGGGUAGAGCACUGUUUCGGCAAGGGGUCAUCCCGACUUACCAACCCGAUGCAAACUGCGAAUACCGGAGAAUGUUAUCACGGGAGACACACGGCGGGUGCUAACGUCCGUCGUGAAGAGGAAACAACCCAGACCGCCAGCUAAGGUCCCAAAGUCAUGGUUAAGUGGGAAACGAUGUGGGAAGGCCCAGACAGCCAGGAUGUUGGCUUAGAAGCAGCCAUCAUUUAAAGAAAGCGUAAUAGCUCACUGGUCGAGUCGGCCUGCGCGGAAGAUGUAACGGGGCUAAACCAUGCACCGAAGCUGCGGCAGCGACGCUUAUGCGUUGUUGGGUAGGGAGCGUUCUGUAAGCCUGUGAAGGUGUACUGUGAGGUAUGCUGGAGGUAUCAGAAGUGCGAAUGCUGACAUAAGUAACGAUAAAGCGGGUGAAAAGCCCGCUCGCCGGAAGACCAAGGGUUCCUGUCCAACGUUAAUCGGGGCAGGGUGAGUCGACCCCUAAGGCGAGGCCGAAAGGCGUAGUCGAUGGGAAACAGGUUAAUAUUCCUGUACUUGGUGUUACUGCGAAGGGGGACGGAGAAGGCUAUGUUGGCCGGGCGACGGUUGUCCCGGUUUAAGCGUGUAGGCUGGUUUUCCAGGCAAAUCCGGAAAAUCAAGGCUGAGGCGUGAUGACGAGGCACUACGGUGCUGAAGCAACAAAUGCCCUGCUUCCGGGAAAAGCCUCUAAGCAUCAGGUAACAUCAAAUCGUACCCCAAACCGACACAGGUGGUCAGGUAGAGAAUACCAAGGCGCUUGAGAGAACUCGGGUGAAGGAACUAGGCAAAAUGGUGCCGUAACUUCGGGAGAAGGCACGCUGAUAUGUAGGUGAAGCGACUUGCUCGUGGAGCUGAAAUCAGUCGAAGAUACCAGCUGGCUGCAACUGUUUAUUAAAAACACAGCACUGUGCAAACACGAAAGUGGACGUAUACGGUGUGACGCCUGCCCGGUGCCGGAAGGUUAAUUGAUGGGGUUAGCGGUAACGCGAAGCUCUUGAUCGAAGCCCCGGUAAACGGCGUACGUAACUAUAACGGUCCUAAGGUAGCGAAAUUCCUUGUCGGGUAAGUUCCGACCUGCACGAAUGGCGUAAUGAUGGCCAGGCUGUCUCCACCCGAGACUCAGUGAAAUUGAACUCGCUGUGAAGAUGCAGUGUACCCGCGGCAAGACGGAAAGACCCCGUGAACCUUUACUAUAGCUUGACACUGAACAUUGAGCCUUGAUGUGUAGGAUAGGUGGGAGGCUUUGAAGUGUGGACGCCAGUCUGCAUGGAGCCGGCCUUGAAAUACCACCCUUUAAUGUUUGAUGUUCUAACGUUGGCCCCUGAUCGGGGUUGCGGACAGUGUCUGGUGGGUAGUUUGACUGGGGCGGUCUCCUCCUAAAGAGUAACGGAGGAGCACGAAGGUUGGCUAAUCCUGGUCGGACAUCAGGAGGUUAGUGCAAUGGCAUAAGCCAGCUUGACUGCGAGCGUGACGGCGCGAGCAGGUGCGAAAGCAGGUCAUAGUGAUCCGGUGGUUCUGAAUGGAAGGGCCAUCGCUCAACGGAUAAAAGGUACUCCGGGGAUAACAGGCUGAUACCGCCCAAGAGUUCAUAUCGACGGCGGUGUUUGGCACCUCGAUGUCGGCUCAUCACAUCCUGGGGCUGAAGUAGGUCCCAAGGGUAUGGCUGUUCGCCAUUUAAAGUGGUACGCGAGCUGGGUUUAGAACGUCGUGAGACAGUUCGGUCCCUAUCUGCCGUGGGCGCUGGAGAACUGAGGGGCUGCUCCUAGUACGAGAGGACCGGAGUGGACGCAUCACUGGUGUUCGGGUUGUCAUGCCAAUGGCACUGCCCGGUAGCUAAAUGCGGAAGAGAUAAGUGCUGAAAGCAUCUAAGCACGAAACUUGCCCCGAGAUGAGUUCUCCCUGAGACUUUAAGUCUCCUGAAGGAACGUUGAAGACGACGACGUUGAUAGGCCGGGUGUGUAAGCGCAGCGAUGCGUUGAGCUAACCGGUACUAAUGAACCGUGAGGCUUAACCUU